ACUUGAUCUUCCCACCAGAGCAAGGCAGUUAGUUACUAAGGAGACUCAAGCCGGCACAUAACAAAGGGUGAUUCUGCAGGCCCGAAGAGUUAUGACUUUAAUCUCCGGUGGUUAUAAAGAUCCAGGUGUUUAAAAUGACAGGCCAGCAAUAAACAAGAGUAGAGCAGAAUGCUUGCUUACAUUUUGCAAAAGCUGAGAGAAAAAUAGAAAUAGGAUUAACCAUGCUGUGUAUUGUGUGGAAAAAUGCCUUCACGUUAAUUACAAGUAAAUUAAAGGCAAGGGAUAAAUUAUAACCAGGAAAUGUUUGUGAGUUCAAUGCGAUGUGGAUUCUGCCCUGUUUUCUAUAUUAUAUGGCUUUGCUUAACGAUGCGGCUUUUGUUGAGCGAUCAAUCUUUAAUUAAUCACUGCAUAUAAUUAAACAGGAUUGUAGAAAUUAAAAAGCAUUGCUGAUUUCACCUUUGGAAGGACCUUCUUGGCACAGGUCUGCAGACACAAAUUCCACCUGGAUGGGGCCAUGUCUGUGCACUCCAUUUUCUGGCCAGUACUGUGGACACAGCUGAACCCAGAACACAACAGCAGGUAUAGUUACAAAGGUGAUUGGACAGCAGUUUGGAUACGAUCAGCACUGACAAAAUUUUUUGAACUCCAAUUCUUUUAUUCCUCCAGUAGGCUGCCUUCUAAUACUCUGGCUGUUUUCUCAAAAAGUGUGUAUUAGCCAGGUGCACUCUGGCUUUCUAAGGAUAUUGGUAACACGGCAGCCCUUUGUAAAGUCUUACUCAUGAGAAAAGGAAAGGCUAGGCUCCAAGAAGAUGACUCCAGCCACCACAAAAACAAAGACACUCAAGCAAGCAUGAGUACCUGGGAAGACCUGUGCUCUUCCAAGGGGCUGCUGGGAACAGGUUGGCUCCAGAUAACUGGCAAAUGCUGGGUUCUCAGCCCAUUCUUUUAAAGCAGACUGAUGCUCCACAAGAAGGAGGACUCAGAGGUCAGAUUUCUUUUCUGAUGACAUUUACUUUUGAAAUGAUCUAAAUUGUCACUGUCACAUGUCAUAAAGUAUGACUUAUAUAUUUAAGAUCACAAGAUAAAUUCUCGGUUAACAGUGAAUCGAUGGGGCUCCGGGAGCCCCCAUCUCUCUCCUCCCUCUUUCUCCAUGAUAAAUCUGUAAUCCUUGUUAAAGAUUAAGAGGCUAAGUAGGGUAGCCGAGACUACUCUUUACAUUAGCUAGGUCUCUGCUGGAUUUAGAAAUUACAUUUAUUUAUUUUUGAA